rnacentral:lncRNA from 12 species
GGCCCCAAGUCUUUAACCAUGUCCACAACAGAACCUUUCCACAGACAUCCUGGCCGUUCUCUGAACUCGGGUUCCUACCCCCUGUGGAAGACUUCUCCGUUUCUCAGCAUAUAUGAUAAAAAGAGCAAUCCUUCAGAGCCUGCAGGAGUUAUCUGGUCAUUAGGAGUUGCUGCUUCUCUGGAACUAGAUUCCAAGCACCCUGAAAGCCCAAAUACCAUUCUACGUCUCCUCUUUCUGCCUAUUGCCCUCUGCCCAUUUUUUUUUUUGAGAUUGUAUUUAUUUAUUUAUUCAUGAGAGACACAGAGUGAGAAGCAGAAACACAGGCAGAGGGAGAAGCAGGCUCCAUGCUGGGAGCCCAACGUGGGACUCGAUCCCAGGACCCCUGGAUCACGCCCUGAGCCAAAGGCAGACGCUCAACCACUGAGCCUCCCAGGCGUCCCAUUAUGGCCCAGGUCGAGCACCUGGCAGAUAAUGCUCAUCAAGUAUAAUGUGUCCAGCGUGUAAUGCCCCUGGAGCAUAAUGUGGGUACCGUAUAUUGCAUGUAGCUUGUCAUGCCUGCAGUGUGUGACACACAUAGUUCAGGGGCAUUUAGUGUAUGAUGCUUCCAGACCAUACCGCACCCGGCAUGAUAUAAUGUGAGUGUCGUUGCACAGAUGGCCAGACAGGCACCAUCACCACUCCGUUCAUCUUCCUCUGUCGCUAUGCAAAUUUUACGUCGAGAUCUUUUACUAUUUUUUUUUUUUUUAACCAUGUGCAGCCUACACCAGCAGCUCACCUUCCUUUCAAUCUUUUUAAGGGCAGUUCUUCAGGGACCUCAAAUAGCCAAAGGAAAAGCCCAGUACAUUCUCCAAUACUUUGCCCCGUCUCGCCCCCACCUGCUGGUGCAGCACCAUUUGCCACGGCCUGUGAGGUCAUCUCUGCAAGGCGUGCUGUUUCCUCCAGCUCCUUGGCUCUCUGGCUGCGACUCAGUGUUUAUGAUCGCACCAACGUGUGAGGAACGCGGUGUCGAAGAACAAGGCCCAGGCUGGCACCAAGACUGCUGAGAAAUGAAUGGAAAAGCCUCAGGAUGUUAGUGGACCGUUUCACAUACUUGCUGAAGAAAAGCUUACUUGAGGCUUACAGAGCAGGCAAGUAAAUAAUUGACUUUAGACCAUGAUUAGAAUGCCCUUCCAAAAUGACACAAAGAAGUGAAUUUCAGGGAGAUUUUGAAGAUAAAUUUUGAAAAAAAUUUCAAAAACAUUUUGAAAAAAGAAGUGUGUCCGGCAUUUUCAUUCCCUAUCAAACAGCUGGCAUUUGAAUCUUCCAAGCCCAAGUCAUUGUUGGCUGGGGGGAAUGGGAAUCAGUGGGCCAUCUAUUGCGUGGUCCAUGACUUAUAAACACAUCUUGUCACUACAUGUGUCAGGCAAUUACUGGCCAAUUAUACCUGCAAACUACCUAGUAAUUAAAGAUGGAGUCUUUGCGUGGGCUGCCAUUUGGGAAGCAGUGCCUGCUUCCUUACUUCACUGGCAUGAUCACAUCCUCUUGAGAUGACCAAAUGCCAUAAGAAGCCAAGAGGUAGGUGAUCCAUUUAUAGGACAACUGAAUUACGGAGAGCAGAUGGCUCUGAUUCUAAAGUGGUUCAAAGCAAUCCUUCCUAGGGUGAGAGAAAAGCCAUAAGUUACUAAGGAACCAUCUCUGGAAAUGCCCACGCCCUGGUACACAUGUGAGGUGAAUAUUUUUGCAACAACUGUCUACCAAGCAGAUGGCAAAAAACCCUCACAAAAGAUCUGUCAGGCUCUGGGCACUGUGUUGAGUGUUUUAAAUCUACCUUCCAUUUAAUCUUUCCAACUAACCUGGGAGAUAUAUGCAAUCAUCUUUAUUUUACAGAUGAGACUCCAGAAGCUCAGAAAGGUCAAAGAAUGACCCCAUGGCCCCUCUCCUAGUGAAUGGUUGAGUUGGAACAUUCACCCAUAGCUUCUACCUGCAAAUCCUGUGUUUAUCCUUUUUCAUCUUUCUGGGAUAAGGGAAUGGAAGAGAACUUAAAGGUGUCAUUUCAGCCUUCCAGGAGAUUACUGAAAAUGAAAUGACUCUGGAACAAUUAAAAGUAUCCCAUGAGGGCAGCCCCGGGUGGCUCAGCAGUUUAGCACUGCCUUCGGCCCAGGGCUUGAUCCUGGAGACCCAGGAUCGAGUCCCACAUCAGGCUCCCUGCAUGGAGCCUGCUUCUCCCUCUGCCUGUGUCUGCCUCUCUCUCUCUCUCUCUCUCUCAUGAAUAAAUAAAUAAAAUCUUUAAAAAAAAAUAUCCCA